rnacentral:piRNA from 3 species
UUACAACGUAUUGAGGAUUCGCAGC